AGCAGCCGCGGUAAUUCCAGCUCCAAUAGCGUAUAUUAAAGUUGUUGCAGUUAAAAAGCUCGUAGUUGAAUUUCGGGAUCAAUAUAUCGGUCGUGCCUCCGGUAUGCACUGGUAUUAUUGAUUUCUACCUUCUGACGAAUCAUGAUGUCAUUAAUUUGGUGUCAUGGGGAAUCAGGACUGUUACUUUGAAAAAAUUAGAGUGUUUAAAGCAGGCACACGCUUGAAUACAUUAGCAUGGAAUAAUGAAAUAGGACGUUUGACCCUAUUUUGUUGGUUUCUAGGAUCGACGUAAUGAUUAAUAGGGAUAGUUGGGGGCAUUAGUAUUCAAUUGUCAGAGGUGAAAUUCUUGGAUUUAUUGAAGACUAACUACUGCGAAAGCAUUUGCCAAGGAUGUUUUCAUUAAUCAAGAACGAAAGUUAGGGGAUCGAAGACGAUCAGAUACCGUCGUAGUCUUAACCAUAAACUAUGCCGACUAGGGAUCGGAUGAAUGUUAAUUUUAAUGACUCAUUC
rnacentral:rRNA from 1 species